rnacentral:rRNA from 1 species
GUGAUCUACCCAUGGCCAGGUUGAAGCGCGUGUAAGAGCGCGUGGAGGACCGAACCCACUUCAGUUGAAAAUGGAGGGGAUGAGCUGUGGGUAGGGGUGAAAGGCCAAUCAAACUCCGUGAUAGCUGGUUCUCCCCGAAAUGCAUUUAGGUGCAGCGUUGCGUGUUGCUUGCUGGAGGUAGAGCUACUGGAUGGCUGAUGGGCCCUACAAGGUUACUGACGUCAACCAAACUCCGAAUGCCAGUCAAGUUGAGCGUGGCAGUGAGACUGUGGGGGAUAAGCUUCAUAGUCGAAAGGGAAACAGCCCAGACCAUCAACUAAGGCCCCUAAGCGUGUGCUAAGUGGGAAAGGAUGUGGAGUUGCUUAGACAACCAGGAGGUUGGCUUAGAAGCAGCCACCCUUGAAAGAGUGCGUAAUAGCUCACUGGUCAAGUGAUUCCGCGCCGAUAAUGUAGCGGGGCUCAAGUACACCGCCGAAGUUGUGGCAUGACACCGUAUAGCUGAGCCGUUUGUGGUUGAGGUGGUGUUGUGGGUAGGGGAGCGUCGUUGGGGUAGUGAAGCUGCGGGGUGACCCAGUGGUGGAACCUCAACGAGUGAGAAUGCAGGCAUGAGUAGCGAUAGACGGGUGAGAAACCCGUCCGCCGGAUGAUCAAGGGUUCCAGGGUCAAGCUAAUCUGCCCUGGGUGAGUCGGGACCUAAGGCGAGGCCGACAGGCGUAGUCGAUGGACAACGGGUUGAUAUUCCCGUACCGACGAAGAACCGACCCUACUGAACCGGGGAUACUAACCACCCGAACCACCAUGACCGUGUGCCCUUGUGGUACGCGGGGUGUGUGGGGAGCGUGGGACCUGAUCCGGGGAGGUAAACGUGUUAACAGGUGUGACGCAGGAAGGUAGCCGAGCCAGGCGAUGGUUGUCCUGGUCUAAGCAUGUAGGGUGACCCGUUGGUAAAUCCGCGGGUUGUGUGCCUGAGAUGUGAUGGGACUCUCUUAGGUGAGGGAAUUCGGUGAUCCUAUGCUGCCAAGAAAAGCAUCGACGUGAGGUUCUAGUCGCCCGUACCCCAAACCGACACAGGUGAUCAGGUAGAGAAUACUAAGGCGUUCGAGAGAAUCAUGGUUAAGGAACUCGGCAAAAUGCCCCCGUAACUUCGGGAGAAGGGGGGCCCUGUCUGGUGA